UAGUGAAACCGCGAAUGGCUCAUUAAAUCAGUUAUGAUCUACUUGGUUGGUACAAAGGAACAAGGAUAACUGCGGUAACCCUGCAGCUAAUACUUGCAGAAUUGCAGAUAACUUUAGGCCACGUCCUAAGGCUCUGUCAAGUUUUAUUAGAGAAACAGAGGGGGUCCGUAUUCCACCUCGACUUCACGUGGAGAGCUCUGAAUAACUGAAAGAUGCCUACAGUUUCGCACUGGGCACGAACCAUCCGAGUAUCUGACCUAUCAACUUCUGACGGUAGUGUAACGGACUACCGUGGUUGUUACGGGUAACGGGGAAUCAGGGUUCGAUUCCGGAGAGGGAGCCUGAGAAACGGCUACCACACCCACGGGAGGCAGCAGGCGCGCAAAUUACCCAAUCUCGGCACGAGGAGGUAGUGACGAAAAAUAACAAUAUAGGCCCUUACGGGUUUGUGAUUGGAAUGAGAGAAAUUUAACAAAUUUCUUCGAGGAUCUAGUGGAGGGCAAGUCUGGUGCCAGCAGCCGCGGUAAUACCAGCAUCCACAAGCGUAUGCAAAAGUUGUUGC
rnacentral:rRNA from 3 species